rnacentral:rRNA from 1 species
GACGAACGCUGGCGGCAUGCCUAAUACAUGCAAGUCGAGCGGAGUUGAUGGAAAGCUUGCUUUCCUGAUACUUAGCGGCGGACGGGUGAGUAACACGUAGGCAACCUGCCCUCAAGCUUGGGACAACUACCGGAAACGGUAGCUAAUACAGAAUACUUGUUUUCUUCGCCUGACGAGACCUGGACAGACGGACCAAUCUGUCACUUGGGGAUGGGCCUGCGGCGCAUUAGUUAGUUGGUGAGGUAACGGCUCACCAAGGCGACGAUGCGUAGCGGACCUGAGAGGGUGAUCGGCCACACUGGGACUGAGACACGGCCCAGACUCCUACGGGAGGCAGCAGUAGGGAAUCUUCCGCAAUGGGCGAAAGCCUGACGGAGCAAUGCCGCGUGAGUGAUGAAGGUUUUCGGAUCGUAAAGCUCUGUUGCCAGGGAAGAACGCUUGGGAGAGUAACUGCUCCCAAGGUGACGGUACCUGAGAAGAAAGCCCCGGCUAACUACGUGCCAGCCGCCGCCGUAA